CUUGGAGCUGAGCAGAUCCUGUCCCAAGAUCCCACUUGCCGGUUUCCCAUGGCAAACAUCCCGUGACAUGCAAGCCUCAGCCAGUGGCUUUGUGAACCAGCUCCUACUUCCGGGACAACUUUCCUGGAGUUUGAGAAGAGACAACGGUGACGGAAAGCUGGUGUCCUAUCAGCUGCCGUGAAGAGAGAGAGGAGGAAGAGUUUGGAAGGGGAGGCUAGGGUUCCUUAGCUAGAGAUCAAGAAAGGAGUGGACAUCAUUUCUUGAAAGUCCAGUGUCUCAUGCAAAGCCACGUCUGACUCCCUGUCAAUCAGUUUGGUUUAAGCUGGGUUGACUGCUGACUCCAAAAUGAAUUUAUAAUGUAUGAAAUAGAAAGCUGUUGGUGGAUUCUGAGCGACAGAGUUGCGUGAUCUAACUGAGCCCUAGAAAAAUUCCCUGGGAUAACGAAGAGAGACUGAAAGACAAGCAGGGGGAGGCUGUUACAACAAAGAACCAGG